CCUACGGGAGGCAGCAGUGAGGAAUAUUGGUCAAUGGACGAGAGUCUGAACCAGCCAAGUAGCGUGAAGGAUGACUGCCCUACGGGUUGUAAACUUCUUUUAUAAAGGAAUAAAGUGAGGCACGUGUGCCUUUUUGUAUGUACUUUAUGAAUAAGGAUCGGCUAACUCCGUGCCAGCAGCCGCGGUAAUACGGAGGAUCCGAGCGUUAUCCGGAUUUAUUGGGUUUAAAGGGAGCGUAGAUGGGUUGUUAAGUCAGUUGUGAAAGUUUGCGGCUCAACCGUAAAAUUGCAAUUGAUACUGGCAGUCUUGAGUACAGUUGAGGUAGGCGGAAUUCGUGGUGUAGCGGUGAAAUGCUUAGAUAUCACGAAGAACUCCGAUUGCGAAGGCAGCAUGCCGGCGCCCUACUGACGCUGAGGCACGAAAGUGCGGGUAUCGAACAGGAUUAGAUACCCUAGUAGUC
rnacentral:rRNA from 1 species